rnacentral:rRNA from 1 species
AGCGUAGGUGGCUCGAUAAGUCAGAUGUGAAAUCCCCGGGCUCAACCUGGGAACUGCUUUGGAAACUGUAUGGCUAGAGUGCUGGAGAGGUAAGCGGAAUUCCUAGUGUAGCGGUGAAAUGCGUAGAUAUUAGGAAGAACACCAGUGGCGAAGGCGGCUUACUGGACAGUAACUGACGUUCAGGCUCGAAAGCGUGGGGAGCAAACA